GUGCUCGCUUCGGCAGCACAUACACUAAAAUUGGAAUGAUACAGAGAAGAUUAGCAUGGCCCCUGAGCAAGGAUGACAUGCAAAUUCGUGAAGAAAAAAAGAUUAUC